rnacentral:misc_RNA from 1 species
AAGUCGUAACAAGGUUUCCGUAGGUGAACCUGCGGAAGGAUCAUUAACACGUGAUACUCACGUAUUAACUCAAUAAAUCCACCGAGAACUAGUUAUUGUGUCCUGUUGUUGAAUGUAAGUAGGCGAAGUGAGGGAAUGCUAUGAGCCGCCCUUCGAAAGAUUGUACGCUCUAACUCAUUAGUCGUUCAUAGGUCCACCCUGGAGCUUGCACCAGCAAUUAGAUUAGAUGAAGCACAACUGCUUAUUAAGCCUGUAGCGUAGCUUGCAGAUUCGUAGCUGAAAUAUUAACCCCUUUUUCUAUUAUUUACUGAUUUUGUAUGUUAUAUGAAUUCCUGACUUCGGUUGGUUGAGUUUAUAUAGAUGUCGUAUAUUACUACUACGAAACAACUCUUAGCAACGGAUAUCUUGGUUCUC